AUUAGAGUUUGAUCCUGGCUCAGAUUGAACGCUGGCGGUAUGCCUUACACAUGCAAGUCGAACGGUAGAGGGGAAACCCUUGAGAGUGGCGAACGGGUGAGUAAUACAUCGGAACGUGCCCAGUCGUGGGGGAUAACGUAGCGAAAGCUACGCUAAUACCGCAUACGACCUGAGGGUGAAAGCGGGGGAUCGCAAGACCUCGCGCGAUUGGAGCGGCCGAUGGCAGAUUAGGUAGUUGGUGGGGUAAAGGCCUACCAAGCCUGCGAUCUGUAGCUGGUCUGAGAGGACGACCAGCCACACUGGGACUGAGACACGGCCCAGACUCCUACGGGAGGCAGCAGUGGGGAAUUUUGGACAAUGGGCGAAAGCCUGAUCCAGCCAUACCGCGUGCGGGAAGAAGGCCUUCGGGUUGUAAACCGCUUUUGUCAGGGAAGAAAUCUUCUGGGCUAAUACCUCGGGAGGAUGACGGUACCUGAAGAAUAAGCACCGGCUAACUACGUGCCAGCAGCCGCGGUAAUACGUAGGGUGCAAGCGUUAAUCGGAAUUACUGGGCGUAAAGCGUGCGCAGGCGGUUCCAUAAGACAGAUGUGAAAUCCCCGGGCUCAACCUGGGAACUGCAUUUGUGACUGUGGAGCUAGAGUACGGUA
rnacentral:rRNA from 1 species